AUUGAACGCUGGCGGCAGGCCUAACACAUGCAAGUCGAGCGGUAGCACAGAGAGCUUGCUCUCGGGUGACGAGCGGCGGACGGGUGAGUAAUGUCUGGGAAACUGCCUGAUGGAGGGGGAUAACUACUGGAAACGGUAGCUAAUACCGCAUAACGUCGCAAGACCAAAGAGGGGGACCUUCUGGCCUCUUGCCAUCAGAUGUGCCCAGAUGGGAUUAGCUAGUAGGUGGGGUAACGGCUCACCUAGGCGAAGAUCCCUAGCUGGUCUGAGAGGAUGACCAGCCACACUGGAACUGAGACACGGUCCAGACUCCUACGGGAGGCAGCAGUGGGGAAUAUUGCACAAUGGGCGCAAGCCUGAUGCAGCCAUGCCGCGUGUAUGAAGAAGGCCUUCGGGUUGUAAAGUACUUUCAGCGAGGAGGAAGGUGUUGAGGUUAAUAACCUCAGCAAUUGACGUUACUCGCAGAAGAAGCACCGGCUAACUCCGUGCCAGCCGCCGCGGUAAAAC
rnacentral:rRNA from 1 species